GACGGACGGUGCAAGCGUUGCUCGGAAUCACUGGGCGUAAAGGGUGCGUAGGCGGCCGCGCAAGUCUGGCGUGAAAGCCCCGGGCUCAACCUGGGAACUGCAAUGGAAACGGGCGGGCUUGAGUGUGGCAGAGGGGGGUGGAAUUCCGCGUGUAGCAGUGAAAUGCGUAGAGAUGCGGAGGAACACCGAUGGCGAAGGCAGCCCCCUGGGCCAACACUGACGCUCAGGCACGAAAGCGUGGGGAGCAAACAGG
rnacentral:rRNA from 1 species